rnacentral:rRNA from 1 species
UACGAAGGGGGCUAGCGUUGCUCGGAAUUACUGGGCGUAAAGCGCACGUAGGCGGAUUGUUAAGUCGGGGGUGAAAUCCUGGAGCUCAACUCCAGAACUGCCUUCGAUACUGGACGAUAUCGAGUCCGGGAGAGGUGAGUGGAACUGCGAGUGUAGAGGUGAAAUUCGUAGAUAUUCGCAAGAACACCAGUGGCGAAAGGCGGCUCACUGGCCCGGA